rnacentral:rRNA from 1 species
AGAGUUUGAUCCUGGCUCAGGAUGAACGCUGGCGGCGUGCCUAACACAUGCAAGUCGAGCGAAGCACUUUGCUUUGAAUCUUUCGGGAGGACGAGUGAUUUGACUGAGCGGCGGACGGGUGAGUAACGCGUGGGUAACCUGCCUCACACAGGGGGAUAACAGUUAGAAAUGACUGCUAAUACCGCAUAAGACCACAGUGUCGCAUGACACAGUGGUAAAAACUCCGGUGGUGUGAGAUGGACCCGCGUCUGAUUAGGUAGUUGGUGAGGUAACGGCUCACCAAGCCGACGAUCAGUAGCCGGCCUGAGAGGGUGGACGGCCACAUUGGGACUGAGACACGGCCCAAACUCCUACGGGAGGCAGCAGUGGGGAAUAUUGCACAAUGGGGGAAACCCUGAUGCAGCGACGCCGCGUGAGCGAAGAAGUAUUUCGGUAUGUAAAGCUCUAUCAGCAGGGAAGAAACUGACGGUACCUGACUAAGAAGCACCGGCUAAAUACGUGCCAGCAGCCGCGGU